AUAACAUCCCCGGAUCAAAGUGUGUGAUUCCGACUCGGGAUGGGUCCGCGUCCUAUUAGCUUGUUGGUGGGGUAAUGGCCUACCAAUGCGACGAUGGGUAGUGGGCGUUAGCGCGUGGCCCGCCUCACUGGGACUGAGACACUGCCCAUACACCUACGGGUGGCUGCAGGCGAGAAUCUUCGGCAAUGGGCGCAAGCCUGACCGAGCGACGCCGCUUGCGGGAUGAAGGCCUUCUGAUUGUAAACCGCUGUCAGAGGGGAGGAAGGGUCCGUGAAGAGCGGAACUUGACCUAUCCUCAGAGGAAGUGCGGGCUAAGUUCGUGCCAGCAGCCGCGGAAAGAGGAAGCGAACAAACGUUAUUCGGAAUCACUGGGCUUAUAGGGUGCGUAUGCGGCCGUUCAAGUCGGGUGUGAAAGCCCUCAGGUUAACUGAGGAAUUGCGCCCGAUACUGUUCGGCUUGAGGGAGACAGAGGUGAGCGGAACUUGCGGUGGAGCGGUGACAUGCGUUGAUAUCGCAAGGAACACCAGUAGCGAAAGCGGCUCAAUGGGUCUCUUCUGACGCUGAGGCACGAAAGCUAGGGUAGCGAAGAGGAUUAGAUACCCUCGUAGUCCUAGCUGUAAACGCUGAGCACUGGCUUGGAGGGUCCUCCAUAGCUUUCCGAUCGUAGCGAAAGUCUUAAGUGCUCCGCCUGGGGAGUAUGAUCGCAAGGCUGUAACUCAAAGGAAUUGACGGGGGCUCACACAAGCGGUGGAGGAUGUGGCUUGAUUCGAGGCUACGCGAAGAACCUUAUCCUGGAUUUGACAUGCUUGGGAAUCCCCUGGACACAGGGGAGUGCCCUUCGGGGAGCCCUUGCACAGGUGCUGCAUGGCUGUCGUCAGCUCGUGUCGUGAGAUGUCGCGUUAAGUCCUCUCACGAGCGAAACCCUUGUCGUUAG
rnacentral:rRNA from 1 species